AAAUGUACCAAAAUUUAUAUUAACCUUUCGAACAAGCCUACAGUAAUUCAACUGAACACAAAACAAAGUGUCUCAUCUCACUCUGACCAAUAAAUAGGCAGAAGCAGCAAUGGCCACAAUCAGUCCACUUUCCCUGUAACAGUGCAGAUAGCGGUUAUUGAAAU